GGAAGGAGGAGACUGAAGCUGUGACCGACCUAGUAUGACUUUGUGCCUCUUUGUAGACUGUUUUUUCUCAUUUCGACAUCUGGGCUUUUCUUUCUCAAUGGAGAUUCCUGAAGACAGCUAAGACAUGAGCUUCCUUGCCACUGGCUGCCUGCAAGGUGGUUGGCACUGGGGUACUCAGACUGUAGUUCUAAACAAAGUGAUAUAAAAACUUUUUUUCCCAACCUGAAUUAUGCAAGGAGAAGAACAAGUAGUCCUUUCCAUCAGUGGAAACACAGCUGAAGGGAACGUAGGGCAGAGAGAAAAUGGACAGUACUCUGAAGGUGUACGCAGACUAGAGGAAUGUCUUCUACUAAUACUGCAUCUAUAUAAAAUGGCUGGAACAUACAGAGCAGAAGAGAGCUAACUGUCCCUUUGAUGCUGUAAAUGAUGACAGUGAAGAAAUCAGAGUGGGUAUAGCUGUGAACAUGGGCCAUAAAAGGCUGCAGCCACUGCCGGGAGCUUACUUUAGGUACUACUUUUGCCUUUGCAAUUUACAGAAUCAAAAGAGAUUAAAAUGAGAUGACAAGAUUAUCUCUCAUUUUGCAUAGCUGAUUGAGAGCUCAAACGCUUGUAUCAAAUGCAUAGCAGAAUAAGAUAAAGAUAAAAGGUAAAUGGUGAAAAUGUUUAGGACACAUAAAGGAAAUUCUAUUUCUUGAAUGCAUAGAAACCCAGCAUAAGUCAGCAGACUCCACUGGAUUUUGCAGAACACACACUUCUCUAGCACCAGUUUUCCUCUCCCACCUCCUUUCCAGUUUUCUCUAAAUAAGACAGCAUCAAGAAAAAGUCAAGGAAUUAACUAGUGUGUCCAUGGAAACAGUAGGAGCUGAUGGAGCCAUGUGUACAGUGGGACUCUAGCAGCUUUAACCUUGCUAAUUGCAG
rnacentral:lncRNA from 1 species